UACGGAGGGAGCUAGCGUUGUUCGGAAUUACUGGGCGUAAAGCGCACGUAGGCGGCUUUUUAAGUCAGGGGUGAAAUCCCGGGGCUCAACCCCGGAACUGCCCUUGAAACUGGAGAGCUAGAAUCUUGGAGAGGCGAGUGGAAUUCCGAGUGUAGAGGUGAAAUUCGUAGGUAUUCGGAAGAACACCAGUGGCGAAGGCGACUCGCUGGACAAGUAUUGACGCUGAGGUGCGAAAGCGUGGGGAGCAAACAGG
rnacentral:rRNA from 1 species